GACGGAGGGGGCUAGCGUUGUUCGGAAUUACUGGGCGUAAAGCGCACGUAGGCGGCUUUGUAAGUUAGAGGUGAAAGCCCAGGGCUUAACCCUGGAAUUGCCUUUAAGACUGCAUCGCUAGAAUCGUGGAGAGGUGAGUGGAAUUCCGAGUGUAGAGGUGAAAUUCGUAGAUAUUCGGAAGAACACCAGUGGCGAAGGCGACUCACUGGACACGUAUUGACGCUGAGGUGCGAAAGCGUGGGGAGCAAACAGG
rnacentral:rRNA from 1 species